rnacentral:rRNA from 1 species
ACGAACGCUGGCGGCGUGCUUAACACAUGCAAGUCGAGCGGUAAGGCCCUUUCGGGGGUACGACGAGCGGCGAACGGGUGAGUAACACGUGGGUGACCUGCCCUCAGCUCUGGGAUAAGCCUGGGAAACCGGGUCUAAUACUGGAUAUGACUCCAUGACGCAUGUUGUGGGGUGGAAAGCCUUGUGCGGCUGAGGAUGGGCCCGCGGCCUAUCAGCUUGUUGGUGGGGUGANGGCCUACCAAGGCGACGACGGGUAGCCGGCCGU